rnacentral:rRNA from 1 species
UGCGUAGGCGGAAUAAUAAGUCAGUGGUGAAAUCUCUCGGCUCAACCGGGAAACUGCCAUUGAUACUGUUAGUCUUGAGUUCGGUUGAGGUAGGCGGAAUGUGUAAUGUAGCGGUGAAAUGCUUAGAUAUUACACAGAACACCAAUUGCGUAGGCAGCUUACUAGACCGACACUGACGCUGAGGCACGAAAGCGUGGGUAGCGAACAGGAUUAGAUACCCUGGUAGUCC